UACGUAGGGUCCGAGCGUUGUCCGGAAUUAUUGGGCGUAAAGAGCUCGUAGGCGGUUUGUCACGUCUGCUGUGAAAACUGGAGGCUCAACCUCCAGCCUGCAGUGGGUACGGGCAGACUGGAGUGCGGUAGGGGAGAAUGGAAUUCCUGGUGUAGCGGUGGAAUGCGCAGAUAUCAGGAGGAACACCGAUGGCGAAGGCAGUUCUCUGGGCCGUAACUGACGCUGAGGAGCGAAAGCGUGGGGAGCGAACAGG
rnacentral:rRNA from 1 species